rnacentral:other from 1 species
UUCCCUGCGGUGUGCGUGUAACGGAUUAUUUUAACCAACACAUCAAAAAAGGAAUCCUAAUCUCUGAUUGUGGCUGUAGACCAAGCUCAGACUAGGGAACAUUUAAGCAGUCAGGAGGAAUCCACCUGCGUAGCAGGUUUAAAAUAUAUCCUGAAAACACGGCUCGGCGGGGUAU